UAGCAUUUAUUAGAUUAAAUACCAACUAUAAUUAAUAAUAUAACGUAUGUGUGUUAUAAUGUGUAUGUUGUAUGAUAAAAAUGUUAAUUAUAAGAUGAAUCUAGAUAACUUUGCUGAUCGUAUGGCCUUGAGCUGACGACGUUUCAAUUGAAUUUCUGCCCUAUCAACUUGUAGGUAAGGUAGAGGCUUACCUAGGUUGUAACGGGUAACGGGGAAUCAGGGUUCGAUUCCGGAGAGGGAGCCUGAGAAAUGGCUACCACAUCCAAGGGAGGCAGCAGGCGCGCAAAUUACCCAAUCCAGACAGUGGGAGGUGGUUAUGAGAAAUACCAGAUAAUAUUCUUUUUGAUUAUUAUACUGGAAUGAACGUAAUUUAAGCAAUUCGUUGAGUAACAACUGGAGGGCAAGUCUGGUGCCAGCAGCCGCGGUAAUUCCAGCUCCAGUAGUCUGAUUCAGAGUUGCUGCGUUUAAAACGCUCGUAGUUGGAUGACUAAGUAUAAGACAGUCGAUUAAUAUAUUUGCACAAUAAAUUUAAUAUAUAAUAUGGAUAAUAAUAUGAUAUGUAAUACAUUGGUUAAACCUUUAUGUUAUAUAUUUGUUAUAUACUGUAUAUAAUGUUAAAGUGUAAAUUAUAAUAUUAAUUGAUAGCUGUAUUAAUUCUUAUACUAAUUAUAUAUAAGGAUGGUAGAUUGACCUUUAGUGUGUUGAUUACUAUAUCUUAUAAAGUGUGCCUUGAAAAAAUCAAAGUGCUCAAAGCAGGCUGUAUAUGCUUGUAUGUUAAUAGCAUGGAACGAACAAUUGUGAUAAAUAAUAUAACUUGUAUGUUAAUUUGUACAUUUUAUAUCAAACACCAACCC
rnacentral:rRNA from 1 species